GCAUCAGGACACUAAUGAGCACUCCUCUUAAUCCCCGGAGGCACACCUGCUCCCUGCUAGAUCGAUAUUCGUGUUCAGAUGACUUUCCAGCGUAUUCCUGUUUGCCUGCCUGCCCGGUUCCGACCUUGCCUGUUCCUGACCAUUCUGCUCCCCGGACGUCGACGAGGCUUCACCUGGAUUGCUGCUGUCAGUGUUGGACGUCAAAGGAAAUAUUGUAAAAAUAACACCAGCAGCAUUGUGAUAUCAACAAUACUAAUAAGUCUCAUCAUAUGCAGUAUUCCCAUCAGGAGUUACGACACAGAGAAAGCUGAAAAAUGAACCAGUAAGAAAAAUAUUGCUCAUGUCACUCUCAUUGUAUCUUUACAACCUAAAGUGUUCUUUUUCCUGCAGGAGUCUUAUCAGUAUAGGAGAUAUGAGAGAGAUGUGGUUGUUCAGUUAAAGAAAGCAGCAGUUUUAAUUCAGCUAAAGAGUCCUGCACAAUAUGGUGCAGAUAGAAAGUCUGUAAACACAGAAAAUAAUAUUGAUCAAUAUGGAAAUUAGAGGCACUGAACAUAAUGAAUGGUAUGAUGCUGCUUGCCUGUAGUACCUCCUGCAUAGACUACAGCCCUAUAACUCCAUUUGUUUGACUUGAAAAUUGUAUAAUCCUCCCAUUUUGUCCAUUAGUUUUAGACCAACAUGACCAAACAUUUUUUUAAAGGCUGCUAAUGUUUCUAAAAUGAAUAAAUGAUAUAUUUCAGUAUCAGUAACAUGUACUGGAAUUGCUUUUCCUUCUUUGGCCAUUGAUUUAUUUAUUCCUUUCCCUUAACCGCUAAUUAUUUCUCACAGUACACAGAGUUGAAGUCUCUCUCUCUCUCUCUCUCUCACACACACACACACACACACCUUUUUGUGUGUGAGCUUAUAUAUAAAUUACAUUGCCAUGCAGGUGCUGAAGCCACAGCAAGUCUGUGGAUCUAAUCAGUGCAUAAUAAAGGGGAGGAGUGGCAUCCUGGAAGGAGC
rnacentral:lncRNA from 1 species